rnacentral:rRNA from 1 species
ACAUGAAGCUGGAAUCGCUAGUAAUCGCAGAUCAGAAUGCUGCGGUGAAUACGUUCCCGGGUCUUGUACACACCGCCCGUCACACCAUGGGAGUCGGGAAUGCCCGAAGUCAGUGACCCAACCGCAAGGAGGGAGCUGCCGAAGGCAGGCUCGAUAACUGGGGUGAAGUCGUAACAAGGUAAC